rnacentral:rRNA from 1 species
CCUACGGGAGGCAGCAGUGAGGAAUAUUGGUCAAUGGGCGCGAGCCUGAACCAGCCAAGUAGCGUGAAGGAUGACUGCCCUACGGGUUGUAAACUUCUUUUAUAAAGGAAUAAAGUGAGGCACGUGUGCCUCUUUGUAUGUACUUUAUGAAUAAGGAUCGGCUAACUCCGUGCCAGCAGCCGCGGUAAUACGGAGGGUCCGAGCGUUAUCCGGAUUUAUUGGGUUUAAAGGGAGCGUAGAUGGGUUGUUAAGUCAGUUGUGAAAGUUUGCGGCUCAACCAUAAAAUUGCAGUUGGUACUGGUGGGUUGGAGGAGGGGGGAGGGAGGCGGAAUGCGGGGUGGAGCGGUGAAAUGUUUAGAGA